rnacentral:rRNA from 1 species
UACGGAGGAUCCGAGCGUUAUCCGGAUUUAUUGGGUUUAAAGGGAGCGUAGGCGGAAGCUUAAGUCAGUUGUGAAAGUUUGCGGCUCAACCGUAAAAUUGCAGUUGAUACUGGGUUUCUUGAGUGCAGUAGAGGUAGGCGGAAUAAGUUAAGUAGCGGUGAAAUGCUUAGAUAUAACUUAGAACUCCGAUAGCGAAGGCAGCUUACCAGACUGCGACUGACGCUGAAGCACGAGAGCGUGGGUAGCGAACAGG